rfam:Triticum aestivum genome assembly, contig: Triticum_aestivum_CS42_TGACv1_scaffold_321357_4BL
UUUCUACUCCCUCCGUACAGAAAUACUUGUCGGAGAAAUCGAUAAAAAUGAAUGUAUCUAGAACUAAAAUACAUCUAGAUACAUCCAUUUCUCUGACAAGUAUUUCUGAACGGAGGGAGUAUAUU